UAGAUACUCCCUCCGUCCCAAAAUUCUUAUCUUAGAUUUGUCUACAUUACAUUUUAGUGUUAGAUACAUCCGUAUCUAGAUAAAUCUAAGACAAGAAUUUUGGGACAGAGGGAGUAUAUC
rfam:Triticum aestivum genome assembly, contig: Triticum_aestivum_CS42_TGACv1_scaffold_404851_5BL